GCCUACGGGACGCAGCAGUAGGGAAUCUUCCACAAUGGGCGAAAGCCUGAUGGAGCAACGCCGCGUGGGUGAAGAAGGUCUUCGGAUCGUAAAACCCUGUUGUUAGAGAAGAAAGUGCGUGAGAGUAACUGUUCACGUUUCGACGGUAUCUAACCAGAAAGCCACGGCUAACUACGUGCCAGCAGCCGCGGUAAUACGUAGGUGGCAAGCGUUAUCCGGAUUUAUUGGGCGUAAAGGGAACGCAGGCGGUCGUUUAAGUCUGAUGUGAAAGCCUUCGGCUUAAACGGCGUAGUGCAUUGGAAACU
rnacentral:rRNA from 1 species